GGAAGAAACUAGAAAGAAACGCGAGAGAGAGAGAGAGAGAGACAGAGAGAGAGGGGGAAGGAAAUGGAGAGAAGAGAAAGUCCAGAGACAAGAAGAGAGGAAAUCGAUCACGGAAGAGACUGUCUUCCGUCGUCUACGCCGGUCGUCGGCCGGCGGCCAUAAGAAAGUCCGUCGUCCCUAAUCAUCCGUUUUAGAAGAAGAUCGAGAGAAAGGAGAAAAACCAACGCUUUGCCCGGCCUUCGUUCUGCUCUGCUCUGCUCUGCCCACCGGACCCCUGAUAUCAACUAUGUCGAUGCAUUGUUAUUUCACUUGCCAUCCAUUGCUGUUUGAACCUUGCCGAGCUUAAUAUUUUAUUUCCUUCCUAUGUGAGGACUUUGAGCCUAGAGCAUUCGAUAUUUAUAUAUAUAUUUUUUUCAUGUGUGAUGUUAGAUCUAAAUUGGCAUUCUAGAACUUGCCUCGAAAUGCAUGUUGAACACACAUGAGGACCUGAUAUAAGUAAGAUGACGGGGGCAUUAGGUAUACCUACUUGGCUUAAAUUAUCCUACCCAAAAAUUUUAUCCACUAGUUAACACCGUUGAGCCUUUUGAAAACCUUUUCAUUCUUCAAUCAAUCAUUAAUCCUUUAGCCAUAUACCAUUUUUUGGAUUUAUACCUUAUAUUGAUCCUUGUGUCGAAGGAAGAGUGGAAGUUUUAUGGCUAUCAUUUAUAUUCUUCUUGUAUAAAGUGUAGAAAGGGAAAGUAUAGUGUUGUUGAUGUUUACAAAAAGGAAAAUAAAACAAAGGGGCUAAACCCCAACAAAACAAAACAAAAAAAAAAAAAAGCAAAACAAAAAACAAAGUGCUGAAACAAGAAAACAAAAAGAAGCAGCACAAAAAAGUAAAAAAAAAAAAAAAACAAAAAGAAACAAAAAUGAGUGGAGUUACGGUUACCAAUGUAAUGUUGAUUUCAAUUCUUACAAGUGAUAUGCUUUAAUUCUUUCCAUUGUUGUUUCGACACUUUUUAGCCGUUCAUUAUCCUUUUUUCUACCUAUACCCCGAGCCCCAUUACACCUGUUUAAAGACCCCCUGAUACUUGUCAUUAGGUCCCUUAAGUGAGGGAGAUAUGAUUGACAUGCAAGCCUAUGGGAUUGCCAUUUUUAUGAUUUAACUUGAGUGCAUACACUAACCCAUGGUGAGGUUUGUUGAGCUCAGCUUGGUUCACUCAUUAUUAUUAUCCAUUUAGCUGUGAUGCCGGGUGAAAGAUUGGAGUGCAUUGGUCAAGUACCACAAUGGAAAUGCAGUGCCUACUCAAAGAAAUGAACAAAAAGACGGAGAGAAAAAAAAAAAUCAGAAAAAAAAGAACUGAAAAAAAGGAAGAAAAUAAAAAAGAGAAAAAAGAAAAAGAAAAGCAAAAAAAGAAAGUCAGUGCAGAUGUCGAACCUGUUGGUGGCUGUGAAAGAAAACAUGAAAACAAAGAAGCAAAGGAACUCAUUAGGUCAAAACAUCCUAUGUCGGCCUUCAUCUACUCACACGAGUGCCAAGCUGCAUUAAUUGUAGAAAAUAAGAACAUUGUGGAGGUUUUGAAGACCUUCGGUGAGGGUUGGACAUGCAAUACUUACCCAAAAAAAGUAAAAUAAAUAAAAGAACAAAAGAAAAAAAAAAAUGAAACAAAAGAGAAAGCCAAUCCAAAUGCUCACUUCAUAGAGAUGUCGAACUUUUUUGGGGCAAAAUGGAAGACAAUUAAUGAAGUCGUGAAGGAAAACAAGAAAACUAAAUAGCAAGGAAAAGGACAUAUUAAAGCCAAAACAUCCUAUGUCAUGUCUCUAUCUACUUGAACAAACGGUGAACUACAUUGAUUGAAGAGAAUAAGAACAUUAUUGAGAUUGUGUCGGUGAAGAAAGGACAUGAAGAAUGUGCUUAAUAGUACGGUCUGGCUAUUCUUUUGAAGUUGAGAAGAGAUAUUCAUCCUCUUUUGGAUGCCAAAGCUGAAAAGGUAAGUGUUUGGGCAGGAUGUAGUCUAUCGUUGGCUUAAUUACAUCUCAUUAAUAUUUUCUUUAUAAUGCAACACCACAAUGGACAUACAGUGCCUACCCAGAAAAACGAAAAGAAAAAAGAAAGAAAGAAAAAAAAAAUCUGAAAAAAAAAAGUUAAAAAAAGCAUAAAUGAAAAAAAAAUAGAGAAAAAAGAAAAAGAAAGAUAAAAAGCAUAAAAGUUAAAAAAAAAAAAAAAAAAAGAAAGCUAUGAAAGAAAAAAAGAAAAAAAAGGUGGGUAUACAUGAAUUUGUUUACUUUUACUAAAUCCUAUUGGUUGUUAGUUUGUUAUACAAUCAUAUAUGGUUCUUCUACAGAGAAGGACCCAUUACGGCCGAAACAUCCCAUGUUGGCCUUCAUCUACUCGAACAAGUGCCGAGCUACAUUGAUUUUAGAGAAUAAGAACAUUGUGGAGGUUUUGAAGACCGGCAGUGAGGGGUGGACAUGCAAUACUUACCCAAGGAAAGUAAAAUAAGUAAAAAAGAAGAAAAGAUGAAACAGAAAAGAAAGCCAAUCCAAAUGCUCACUUCAAAGAGAUGUCGAACUUGUUGGGGGCAAAAUGGAAGACAAUUAGUGAAAUCGUGAAAGAAAACAAGAAAACUAAAAUAGGAUGGAAAAGGACAUAUUAAAGCCAAAACAUCCUAUGUCAGGACUCCAUCUACUCGAACAAGCGGUGAGCUACAUUGAUUGAAGAGAAUAAGAACAUUGUUGAGAUUGUGCCAUUGAAGAAAGGACAUGAAGAAUGUGCUUAAAAGUACGGUAUGGCUAUUUUUUUGAAGUUGAGAAAAGAUAUUUUAUCCUCUUUUGGAUGCCGAAGCUUUUUGGGCAGGGGAUGGUAUAUCCUUGGCUUAAUUACACCUCAUUAAUGUUUUCUUUAUAAUGCAGCACCACAAUGGACAUGCGGUGCCUACCCAAAAAAACGAAAAGAAAAAAAAAAAUUCUGAAUAAAAAAAAUAGUUAAAAAAAAAAAGAAAUGAAAAGAAACAGAAAAAAGAAAAAGAAAAGAAAAAAGCAAAAAAAAUUGAAGAAACAGAAAGAGAAAAAAACAAAAGAAUAGAAAAAAAAGAAAGUUGUAAAAGAAAACAAGUGUCGAGCUACAUUGAUUUUAGAGAAUAAGAACUUUGUGGAGAAAGGAAAAAUACCCGUUAAAGCCGAAACGUCCUAUCUCAGCCUUCUUCUACUCAAACAAGUGGCGAGCUAUAUUGAUCGAAGAGAAUAAGAACAUUGUCGAGAUUGUGAAGAUGUGAGGGAUGGACAUGAAGAAUAUGCUUCAAAAGUAUGGUUUUGCUACUUUGUUGAAGUUGAGAAGAGAUAUUCAUCCUCUUUUGGAUGCCAAAGCUAAAAAGGUAAGUGUUUGGGCGAGAGAUGGUUUAUCGUUGGCCUUAUUUUGUGUUACAGUUUGCAAGUUUGUGCUUUUUUUUGUUGUUGUUCUUACUGUAUUAUUUUGCAAAGAGAUCAAUAAAAAAGGUUGAGAAAAAGAAAAGAAAAAAAAAAGAAAAGAAAAGAGCUGGAAAAGGGGAAAAUUUUUUGAAAAAAACGGAAACAAAGAUGAAAAAAUUAAGGAAAAAAAAAUGAAAAAUGAAAAAAAAAAGAGAAAGAGAAGAAAAAAAUUGAAAAAAAAGCCAAUCAGAUGUUGACCUUAAGGAGAUGUUGAACCUGCUGGUGGCAAAAUGGAAAACAAGUCGCGAAAGAGAACAAGAAAACAAAGUAGGAAGAAAAAGAACUCAUUAAGCAGGAACAUCCUAUAUCACACUGAUUUCAGAGAACAAGAAUAUUUUGGAGUUGAAAAAUAGGUUGUAAAGACAGCUGGUGAGGUUGGACAUGCAGGACUUACGCAAGGAAAAAAAAAACGAAAAAAGAAGAACUACAAAGAGAGAAGGGUCAAUGCUGAAAUGUUGCGCACUUAUGCUAUUGACCUGCUGACUGCAUGCUUGGAGAAUGGUGGUCAGUUAGUGGAAGAUGUGUUGACAUAAUGUGAUAUCUACGAGUACGGUUAACACAAACCAAAAGCUUCUAAGGUAUUGUUUGACAACAAAAGUGUGUCUAGCAUGGCUCUAAAGGCCAAAGAGGAUGGCAGGGGUAAGUCAAAGCAAGUGACAGAGAGUUUUCACAUGGAUACUGAGACUAUCAGAGCCCAUCCCACUGAGAGUGAACGUGAAAAAGAUCGCACAUCUAUGGACAACCUUGAUUGAGAUGAUGAGAGGUGUGGCAAUAGGCAAACAUAUGGGGAUAUGUACUGGGGUGAUGAGGAACAUCUUGAUAGUGUAGCUCCUGAGGUUGAUGCAUAUGAUGCUGAAGCAGAUAGUGACGAGAAGUGGGAUCUCUGCCAGUCAAAAGAAAAACCUGGUGGAAAAUCUCAUGGGGAAGAAGACUUUGAAGGAGUAUCGAUGGCGAUCAAGAGGUAGGUCCAAUGAAGGAGUUUCUGAGACAUUACUGAGUUGGUUAUGAAAGCAGUCGGAGCUGCUGAGCCGAAGCAAGAACAGACCAUGCACCUGCCUGUGCCAUUAAGGCUGCAGGUGCUGCUGCUGCUGAGGUCGUUAAGACAGCUGAUUAGAGUGCAGGAAUACAAGAAGACGAAUGACGAAGAAGCUAUUGUGGUUGCUGCAUCCAGAUCUUCAUCACACUGUUAUGGAUGCUGCCAGUGCAGUUGCUCUUGCAAGAAUUCAAAGCCAUGAAUUUGCUGAAUUUUCUAUUCCUGGUGGUCAUUCCCUUCUGAAGUUGAGAGAGAAAUUCUGUAUCCAGUGUCUGGUGUUUCUUGGGGAGUAUGUUGAAGUUCUUGGUUCUGUACUCCAUGAGAAGGAGUAAAUGUAUGCCUUGCACUACUGCAGCGAAGUCUUAAGCUCGAAGAAACACCCUACACUAAAUUCCUUAUGAAUGAACUUUGAAGCUAAUAUGUGCAUUGGCUGCUCACAGAAAGUUUUCUGCAUUGUUUGUUGAUUGCGGUGGCAUGGACAGACUCCUUGCGACUCCUAGAAAUGCCCAUACAUAUGUGGGUCUUUCUUCCUGCUUAUGAACUAUUGGUUCAAUUCAGGUGAUAAUGAAGUGUGUUUGUUCUCUUCCGCCAAAUAUUGUCCAUCAGAUUGUUAAGUUGGCUGGAACUGCGACAAUAAAUCAGGGCACAUCUCCUCUUGCUUGUGGAGUCUAUUCAACCUAACGAUGGUGAUGGCUAUGAUGAACCUGAGAUUGUUGAACCAGCAUUGAAUUUGUUAAUAAAUCUUGUGUGCCAUCCUUCAUCAAUAAGCAAUAAGCCAAGUCUCAUGCAAGGUCAGCAAUACGGAAAUCAAUCUGCUAUAAACUCCAGGGACAAAUUCAGAGAGGAAUUUCCCAGAGCGUGGUCUAAAUCAGAAUGAAUCAAGGGUUCGAACUGGGGAACUGACACCUAUGCCAUCAUCUGUUGGUAACACUUCAUCAUAACAGGAAUCUGCUUCAUUAGUUGCUUCUGGUUUAGUUGGAGAUCGCAGGAUUUCGUGCUUGGCUUGGUGCUCAGCUUGAACAAGGAUAUCGUCAAGCUAGAGAAGCUGUUCGUGUAAAGCAUGCUUCUUCAGCUUCUCCAACCUCGAAUGGUGACAUCCCCUGCAGCUCUUGAUUGUCUUCGUGCUCUUACAUGCCGAGUACUUUAGCAGCUAGUGAUGCGGCGACUCCCACUUUGAGACCAUUGAAAGAGGAGCAGCCAUUGCUGCUGCUACUCCAGUUUCUUAUCAUUCUAGGGCUUAUCCAUGAGCACCUUCAAUUAUCUGGAUUAGUUUAUCACCAAUGCCAUCCUUGGAUGCUCCAUCAUCUUUAGCACAACACGCAUCUGGGCAGGAGUUGUCAUCAAUACAAAUAGAAUGGCCAUCUGAAAUAGCAACUUGUGGAUUCUUGUUGGAUAGACCAAACUGGUGAACAUACACUCAGACCAUAUGGAUUCGAACUUGUUAUGCACACCAUCUGUUGAGAGUUUGCUAACCAGUCCGACCUAUUUAUCCUCAUGUCUGCCCUGAGCCAAGCAUUCAAUGUUUGCAUCACUGCCAUCAGAUUCAUCCCGGCGUUAAAUCCUUGUGUAUGAUGAUAUCCAGUCUUGUCAAUUGGAUCUGACACUGACUGAUACUUCUAAUAACCCGUCUGGACAUGAUCAUGGAUGUGAUCAUUCAUAUUGACUCAAUGCUGCUUUGGAAUGGAGUUUUGUGGGAUCGAAAGACCAAUUCAUCAAUUUUAUCAAUUUACUGCCUAUGAUGGUGGGGGCUACCAUUCUGCUGGGAAUGAGAUUGUUGAACCAGCGUUGAAUUUGUUAAUAAACCUUGUGUGCCCUCCUUCAUGAAUAAGCAAUAAGCCAAGUCUCAUGUAAGGUCAGCAAGCUUCUUCUACCCAAGCUGGAAUCAAUCUGCUAUAAACUCCAGGGACAGAAAUUCAGAGAGGAAUGUCCCAGAGGUGGUCCAAAUCAGAAUGAAUCAAGGGAUCAAACUGGGGAACUGACACCUAUGCCAUCAUCUGUUGGUAACACUUCAUCAUCACAGGCAUCUGCUUCAUUAGUUGCUUCUGGUUUAGUUGGAGAUCGCAGGAUUUCAUGCUUGGACAAGGAUAUCGUAAAGCUAGAGAAGCGUUCGUUCAAGGCAUGGUAUAAAGGUUCUUCAGCUUCUCCAACCUCGAAUGGUGACAUCCCCUGCAGCUCUUGAUUGUCUUCGUGCUCUUACAUGCCGAGUGCUUUUAGGUUGAUGCUAUUGCAAUAUUGACCGCACUUCAGGUUGAGAAAAGUUAUCAGAGCUCAUCCGAGUGGGAGCCAAACUGCCAGUGGUGACCAAAAUAGGUGGCAGGCCGAAUUAACUCAAGUGAGCUUAUUGGUAUGCGCUCUAAUUUCUUCAUGACAAGCAUCAUUAGAUCAGACGGUCGGUGAUAACAUUUAAUGCCAGUGGUGAUGUUAUAUAUGCAAUCCUCGGGCGAAAUCUAGAGGAUGUCACUUCAGCAUUCAAUGCACGCCGUGUGAAGCACCCUCUCUUUUCUGCUUUUUGCAUUGUGGAUGCUGUCAACUAUUCGGAUAUUACAAAAGUUCCCGUGGAUCCAUGGUGUAGUUGCUAAAUUAUUCCUAGACUCUCUCCAGCAGAAAAAAGAAGACAAAUAUAUUAUUCACACUCAUGAUUUACGAAUAUCCUCUACAUGUGGAUGCAGCAGCAAAUUGUGAAGUUAUAUCACUUUGCAUUGAAUAGAAUUGGUGCAUGCGAGUGUGGUCCGAAUCAGAUUGAAUCAAGGGACCGAACUGGGGAACUGAUGCCAUCUUCUGUUGGUCAUCAUCACAGGCAUCUGCUAGUUGCUUCUGGAUUUUAGUUGGAGAUUUAGGUGCUCGAGCAGGUUGUGCUGGGCUGGUUCGAAUGGUGACAUCCCCUGCAGCUCUUGAUUGUCUUCGUGCUCUUACAUGCCGAGUACUUUAGCAGCUAGUGAUGCAGCGACUCCCACUUUGAGACCAUUGAAAGAGGAGCAGCCAUUGCUGCUGCUACUCCAGUUUCUUAUCAUUCUAGGGCUUAUCCAUGAGCACCUUUAAUUAUCUGGAUUAGGUUAUCACCAAUGCCAUCCUUGGCUGCUCCAUCAUCUUUAGCACAACACGCAUCUGGGCAGGAGUUGUCAUCAGUACAAAUGCAAUGGCCAUUCCAGCUUGAGAAGCUUAUCCAUGAGCAUCUGGAUUAGGUGAGACUGCAUCCUUGCUAAGUUAUCACCAUUGGCUGCUCCAUCAUCUUUAGCACAACACGCAUCUGGGCAGGAGUUGUCAUCAAUACAAAUGCAAUGGCCAUCUGAAUGAGCAACUUGUGGAUUCUUGUUGGAUAGACCAAACGUAUUCCAGCUUGAGAAGUGAGCCUUGCACUUUGUCCUCAAAGAAGAAACCAAGAUUGUUGAACCAGCGUUGAAUUUGUGCCGAAUAAGCAAUAAGCCAAGUCUAAUGCAAGGUCAGCAAGCUUCUUCUACUCAAGCUGGAAAUCAAUCUGCUAUAAACUCCAGGGACAGAAAUUCAGAGAGGAAUGUCCCAGAGCGUGGUCCAAAUCAGAAUGAAUCAAGGGAUCAAACUGGGGAACUGACACCUAUGCCAUCAUCUGUUGGUAACACUUCAUCAUCACAGGUAACACUUCAUCAUCACAGGCAUCUGCUUCAUUAGUUGCUUCUGGUUUAGUUGGAGAUCGCAGGAUCUCGUGCUUGGACAAGGAUAUCGUCAAGCUAGAGAAGCUGUUCGUUCCAGGCAUGGUAUAAUGGUUCUUCUUCCGCUUCUCCAACCUCGAAUGGUGACAUCCCCUGCAGCUCUUGAUUGUCUUCGUGCUCUUACAUGCCCGAGUGCUUUUAGGUUGAUGCUAUUGCACAUAUAUUGACCGAACUUCAGGUGGAUUCGAACAUAUACUGAAAGCGAGGAAGACGAUGAUGAUAAUGACAGUGAGGUUCUUGAAUCUUUCAGCAGUGACUAUCUUCUGUGAUCGAUCCUUCUUAAAGCUGCAAUCCUACAGCUGAAGAUGCUCACACUUUUACGAUAAACCUCAUGAGAAUUGGUUGAAUCAAGAACGACAUCGUGAGGGGCAAGGCUAAUAAACCAAACCCGAUGAAAAUUGGUAUGUAACUUUCUUUCAUUUUGUUGAGAUUAAAUUGAUGCCUGAUAUCAAAUUGAUGUAUUUUCACUCUGGUGAGGUUGAAUCAAGAACAAUCAUGAUAAGAAUUGGUACGUAACUUUCUUUUAUUUUGUUGAAACUCAAUAGUAUUAUAAUUUUUUCAUUUUGAUUGGAUCAAACUGAUGUGUUUUCUCUCUAUUGAGGUUGAAUCAAAAACAUCAUCGUGAGUAGAGGGAAGGAUUAGAGGCCAAAUCCGACAAGAAUUGGUUGAAUCAAGAACAACAUUGUGAUGUUAAAUGGGCAAGGCAUACGGACCAAUCAUGAUAAGAAUUGGUUGAAUCAAGAACAACAUCAUGAGUAGAGGGAAAUAUUAGAGGCCAAAUCCGACAAGAAUUGGUUGAAUCAAGAACAAAAUUGUGAUGUUAAAAGGGCAAGGCAUACAGACCAAUUAUGAUAAGAAUUGGUUGAAUCAAGAACAACAUUUGUGAUGUUAAAGGGGCAAGGCAUACGGACAAAUCAUGAUAAGAAUCGGUUGAAUCAAGAACAACAUCGUGAGUAGAGGAAAGGAUUAGAAGCCAAAUCCGACAAGAAUUGCACGAGAGAGAGAGAGACGGAUGGAAAUGGGAGAGAAGAGAAAGUCCAGAGACAAGAAGAGCGGAAAUCGAUCAUGGAAGAGACUGUCUUCCGUCGUCUACGCCGGUCGUCGGCCGGCGGCCAUAAGAAAGUCCGUCGUCCCUAGUCAUCCGUUUUAGAAGAAGAUCCAGAGAAAGGAGAAAAACCAACGCUUUACCCGGCCUUCGUUCGUUCUGCUCUGCUCUGCUCUGCCCACCGGACCCCUGAUAUCAACUAUGUCGAUGCAUUGUUAUUUCACUUGCCAUCCAUUGAUGUUUGAACCUUGCCGAGCUUAAUAUUUUAUUUCCUUCCUAUGUGAGGACUUUGAGCCUAGAGCAGUCAAUAUUUAUAUAUUUUUUUUCAUGUGUGAUGUUAGAUCUAAAUUGGCAUUCUAGAACUUGCCUCGAAAUGCAUGUUGAACACACAUAAGGACCUGAUAUAAGUAAGAUGACGGGGGCAUUAGGUAUACCCACUUGGCUUAAAUUAUCCUACCCAAAAAUUUUAUCCACUAGUUAACACUGUUGAGCCUUUUGAAAACCUUUUCAUUCUUCAAUUAAUCAUUAAUCCUUUAGCCAUAUACCAUUUUUUGGAUUUAUACCUUAUAUUGAUCCUUGUGUCGAAGGAAGAGUGGAAGUUUUAUGGCUAUCAUUUAUAUUCUUCUUGUAUAAAAUGUAGAAAGGGAAAGUAUAGUGUUGUUGAUGUUUACAAAAAAGAAAAUAAAACAAAGGGGCUAGACCCCAACAAAACAAAAAAAAAAAAAAAAAGUGCUGAAACAAGAAAACAAAAAGAAGCAGCACAAAAAAGUAAAAAAAAAAACAAAAAGAAACAAAAAUGAGUGGAGUUAUGGUUACCAAUGUAAUGUUGAUUUCAGUUCUUACAAGUGAUAUGCUUUAAUUCUUUCCAUUGUUGUUUCGACACUUUUUAGCCGUUCAUUAUCUUUUUUCUACCUAUACCCCGAGCCCCAUUACACCUGUUUAAAGACCUCCUGAUACUUGUCAUUAGGUCCCUUAAGUGAGGGAGAUAUGAUUGACAUGCAAGCCCAUGGGAUUGUCAUUUUUAUGAUUUAACUUGAGUGCAUACACUAACCCAUGGUGAGGUUUGUUGAGCUCAGCUUGGUUCACUCAUUAUUAUUAUUAUCCAUUUAGCUGUGAUGCCGGGUGAAAGAUUGGAGUGCAUUGUUCAAGUACCACAAUGGAAAUGCAGUGCCUACUCAAAUAAAUGAACAAAAAGACCGGAGAGAAAAAAAAUCAGAAAAAAAAAAGAAAUGAAACAAAUGAAAAAAAAAAUAAAAUAAAAAAGAACAAAGAAACAGAGAGAAAAAAAAAAAGUCAAUCAAAGUGCAAAUGUCGAACCUGUGAAAGAAAACAUGAAAACAAAGAAGCAAAGGAACUCAUUAGGUCAAAACAUCCAAUGUCGGCCUUCAUCUACUCACACAAGUGCCAAGCUGCGUUAAUUGUAAAAAAUAAGAACAUUGUGGAGGUAUUGAAGACCGUCGGCGAGGGUUGGACAUGCAAUACUUACCCAAAGAAUGUUAAAUAAAUAAAAGAAGAAGAGAAAAAGAAAUGAAACGAAAAAUAAAGCCAAUCCAAAUGCUCACUUCAUAGAGAUGUCAAACUUGUUGGGGGCAAAAUGGAAGACAAUUAAUGAAGUCGUGAAGGAAAACAAGAAAACUAAAUAGCAAGGAAAACGACAUAUUAAAGCCAAAACAUCCUAUGUCAUGUCUCUAUCUACUCAAACAAACGGUGAGCUACAUUGAUUGAAGAGAAUAAGAACAUUGUUGAGAUUGUGUCGGUGAGGAAAGGACAUGAAGAAUGUGCUUCAAAAGUACGGUCUGGCUAUUCUUUUGAAGUUCAGAAGAGAUAUUCAUCCUCUUUUGGAUGCCAAAGCUGAAAAGGUAAGUGUUUGGGCAGGAUAUAGUCUAUCGUUGGCUUAAUUACAUCUCAUUAAUGUUUUCUUUAUAAUGCACCACCACAAUGGACAUGCAGUGCCUAUCCAAAAAAAAUGAAAAGAAAAAAGAAAAAAGAAAGAAAGAAAAAAAAAUCUGAAAAAAAAAGACGAUUAAAGAAAGCAGAAAAAAAAAAGAAAACAGAGAAAAAAGAAAAAGAAAGAUAAAAAGCAAAGAAGUUAAAAAAAAAAGCAAAAAAGAAAAAAGCUAUGAAAGAAAACAAGAAAAAAAGGUAAGUAUAUAUGAAUUUGUUUAGUUUUACUAAAUCCUAUUGGUUGUUAGAUUGUUAUAUAAUCAUAUAUGGUUGUUCUACACAGAUAGGAAGGUAAAGGACCAAUUACGGCCGAAACAUCCUAUGUUGGCCUUCAUCUACUCGAACAAGUGCCGAGCUACAUUGAUUUUAGAGAAUAAGAACAUUGUGGAGGUUUUGAAGACCGGCAGUGAGGGAUGGACAUGCAAUACCUACCCAAAAGAGAGUAAAAUAAAUAAAUAAAUAAAAGAGAAAAAAAGAUAAAACAGAAAAGAAGGCCAAUCCAAAUGCUCACUUCAAAGAGAUGCCAAACUUGUUGGGGGCAAAAUGGAAGACAAUUAGCGAAGUCGUGAAAGAAAACAAAAUGGGAAGGAAAAGGACAUAUUAAAGCCAAAACAUCCUAUGUCAGGCCUCCAUCUACUCGAAACAGCGUUAAGCUACAUUGACGGAAGAGAAUAACAACAUUGUUGAGAUUGUGAAUACUGCCGGUGAGGGAUGGACAUGAAGAAUGUGCUUCAAAAGUAUGGUGUGGCUACUUUUUUGAAGUUGAGAAGAGAGAUUCAUCCUCUUUUGGAUGCCAAAGCUGUUUGGGCAAGAGAUGGUAUAUCGUUGGCUUAAUUACAUCUCAUUAGUGUUUUCUUUAUAAUGCAGCACCACAAUGGACAUGCAGUGGCUACCCAAAAAAUGAAAAGAAAAAAAAAGUAAAGGAAAAAAAAAUCUGAAAAAAAAGGUUAAAAAAAAAAAGAAAUUAAAAAAACAGAAAAAAGAAAAGAACAGGAAAAACGCAAAAAAAUUGAAAAAAAAGAAAGCUGUGAAAGAAAACAGGAAAAAAAAAAGUAAGUAUAUAUGGAUUUGUUUAGUUUUACUAAAUCCUAUUGGUUGUUCGUUUGUUAUAUACUCGUAUAUGGUUCUUCUACACAGAUAGGAAGGUAAAGGACCCACUACGGCCGAAACAUCCUAUGUUGGCCUUCAUCUACUCGAACAAGUGCCGAGCUACAUUGAUUUUAGAGAAUAAGAACAUUGUGGAGGUUUUGAAGACCGGCGGUGAGGGGUGGACAUGCAAUACUUACCCAACGAAAGUAAAACAAAUAAAAAAAAAAGGAAAAAAGAUGAAACAAAAAAGAAAGCCAUUCAAAAUGCAUACUUCAAAGAGAUGUCGAACUUGUUGUGGGCAAAAUGGAAGACAAUUAGUGAAGUCGUGAAAGAAAACAAGAAAACUAAAUAGGAAGGAAAAGGAAAUAUUAAAGCCAAAACAUCCUAUAGCAGGCCUCCAUCUACUCGAAAAAUCGCUGAGCUACAUUGAUUGAAGAGAAUAAGAACAUUGUUGAGAUUGUGAAGACUACAGGUGAGGGAUGGACACGAAGACUAUGCUUCAAAAGUACGGUUUGGCUACUUUUUUGAAGUUGAGAAGAGAUAUUCAUCCUCUUUUGGAUGCCAAAGAUGAAGAGCACCACAAUGGACAUGCAGUGCGUACCAAAAAAGACGAAAAGAAAAACGAAAGAAAAAAAAAUCUGAAAAAAAAAUGGUUAAAAAAAAAACAGAAAUGAAAAAACAGAGGAAAAAAAAAGAAAGAGAAAAAAGGAAAAAAAUUGAAAAAAAAAAGAAAGCCGUGAAAGAAAAUAAGAAAAAGAAGAAGGAAAAGGACCAAUUACGGCCGAAACAUCCUAUGGCGGCCUUCAUCUACUCGAACAAGUGCCGAGCUACGUUGAUUUUAGAGAAUAAGAAUUUUUUGGUGGAAGGAAAAAGACCCAUUAAAGCCGAAACAUCCUAUCUCAGCUUUCUUUUACUCGAAGAAGUGGCGAGCUAUAUUGAUUGAAGAGAAUAAGAACAUUGUUGAGAUUGUGAAGACGUGAGGGAUGGACAUGAAGAAUAUGCUUCAAAAGUAUGGUUUUGCUACUUUGUUGAAGUUAAGAAGAGAUAUCCAUCCUCUUUUGAAUGCCAAAGCUAAAAAGGUAAGUGUUUGGGCGAGAGAUGGUUUAUCGUUGGCUUUAUUUUGUGUUACAGUUUGCAAGUUUGUGCUUUUUUUUGUUGCUGUUCUUACUGUAUUAUUUUGCAAAGAAAUCAAGAAAAAAGGUUGAAAAAAAAAAAAAAAGCUGGAAAAGGGGUAAAAAAUUUGAAAAAAAUGGAAACAAAGAUGAAAAAAUUAAAAAAAAACAAAUGAAAAAAAAAGAGAAAAAAUGAAAAAGAAAAAAAAAAGGGAGAAAAGAAAAAAACUGAAAAAAAGCCAAUUGGAUGUUGACCUCAAGGAGAUGUUGAACCUGCGUGCGGCAAAAUGGAAGACAAGUCGCGAAAGAGAACAAGAAAACAAAGAAGAAAAAGAACUCAUUAAGCAGGAACAUCCUAUAUCACACUGAUUACAGAGAACAAGAAUAUUUUGGAGGUUGUAAAGACGGCUGGUGAGGGUUGGACAUGCAGGACUUACCCAAGGAGAAAAAAAAAAAAUGAAAAAAAAAGAACUACAAAGAGAGAAGGAAAGGGUCAGAUGCUGAAAUGUUGCGCACUUAUGCUACUGGCCUGCUGACUGCAUGCUUGGAGAAUUAGUGGAAGAUGUGUUGACAUAAUGUGAUAUCUACGAGUACGGUUAACACAAACCAAAAGCUUCUAAGGUAUUGUUUGACAACAAAUGUGUGUCUAGCAUGGCUCUAAAGGCCAAAGAGGAUGGCAGGGGUAAGUCAAAGCAAGUGACAGAGAGUUUUCACAUGGAUACUGAGACUAUCAGAGCCCAUCCCACUGAGAGUGAACGUGAAAAAGAUCCCACAUCUAUGGACAACCUUGAUUGAGAUGAUGAGAGGUGUGGCAAUAGGCAAACAUAUGGGGAUAUGUACUGGGGUGAUGAGGAACAUCUUGAUAGUGUAGCUACUGAGGUUGAUGCAUAUGAUGCUGAAGCAGAUAGUGACGAGAAGUGGGAUCUCUGCCAGUCAAAAGAGAAACCUGGUGGAAAAUCUCAUGGGGAAGAAGACUUUGAAGGAGUAUCGAUCGCGAUCAAGAGGUAGGUCCAAUGAAGGAGUUUCUGAGACAUUACUGAGUUGGUUAUGAAAGCAGUCGGAGCUGCUGAGCGAAGAAAGAACAGACCAUGCACCUGCCUGUGCCAUUAAGGCUGCAGGUGCUGCUGCUGCUGAGGUCGUUAAGACAGCUGAUUAGAGGAAUACAAGAAGACGAAUGAUGAAGAAGCUAUUGUGGUUGCUGCAUCCAGAUCUUCAUCCCACUGUUAUGGAUGCUGCCAGUGCAGUUGCUCUUGCAAGGUGGUCAUUCCCUUCUGAAGUUGAGAGAGAAAUUCUGUAUCCAGUGUCUUGUGUUUCUUGGGGAGUAUGUUGAAGUUCUUGGUUCUGUACUCCAUGAGAAGGAGUAAAUGUAUGCCUUGCACUACUGCAGCGAAGUCUUAUGCUCGAAGAAACACCCUACACUAAAUUCCUUAUGAAUGAACUUUGAAGCUAAUAUGUGCAUUGGCUGCUCGCAGAAAGUUUUCUGCAUUGUUUGUUGAUUGCGGUGGCAUGGACAGACUCCUUGCGACUCCUAGAAAUGCCCAUACAUAUGUGGGUCUUUCUUCCUGCUUAUGAACUAUUGGGUCAAUUCAGUUGAUAAUGAAGCGUGUUUGUUCUCUUCCGCCAAAUAUUGUCCAUCAGAUUGUUAAGUUGGCUGGAACUGUGACAAUAAUUCAGGGCACAUCUCCUCUUGCUUGUGGAUUCUAUUCGACCUAACGAUGGUGAUGGCUAUGAUGAACCUGAGAUUGUUGAACCAGCAUUGAAUUUUUUAAUAAAGCUUGUGUGCCAUCCUUCAUCAAUAAGCAAUAGGCCAAGUCUCAUGCAAGGUCAGCAAUACGGAAAUCAAUCUGCUAUAAACUCCAGGGACAGAAAUUCAGAGAGGAAUUUCCUAGAGCGUGGUCCAAAUCAGAAUGAAUCAAGGGUUCGAACUGGGGAACUGACACCAUCAUCUGUUGGUAACACUUCAUCGUCACAGGCAUCUGCUUCAUUAGUUGCUUCUGGUUUAGUUGGUGAUCGCAGGAUUUCGUGCUUGGCUUGGUGCUCAGCUUGAACAAGGAUAUCGUCAAGCUAGAGAAGCUGUUCGUGUAAAGCAUGCUUCUUCAGCUUCUCCAACCUCGAAUGGUGACAUCCCCUGCAGCUCUUGAUUGUCUUCGUGCUCUUACAUGCCGAGUGCUUUUAGGUUGAUGCUAUUGCAAUAUUGACCGCACUUCAGGUUAAGAAAAGUUAUCAGAGCUCAUCCGAGUGGGAGCCAAACUGCCAGUGGUGACCAAAAUAGGUAGCAGGCCGAAUUAACUCAAGUGAGCUUAUUGGUAUGCGCUCUAAUUUCUUCAUGACAAGCAUCAUUAGAUCAGACAGUCGGUGAUAACAUUUAAUGCCAGUGGUGAUGUUAUAUAUGCAAUCCUCGGGCGAAAUCUAGAGGAUGUCACUUCAGCAUUCAAUGCACGCCGUGUGAAGCACCCUCUCUUUUCUGCUUUUUGCAUUGUGGAUGCUGUCAACUAUUCGGAUAUUACAAAAGUUCCCGUGGAUCCAUGGUGUAGUUGCUAAAUUAUUCCUAGACUCUCUCCAGCAGAAAAAAAGAAGACAAAUAUAUUACUUACAGACUCAUGAUUUACGAAUAUCCUCUACAUGUGGAUGCAGCAGCAAAUUGUGAAGUUAUAUCACUUUGCAUUGAAUAGAAUUGGUGCAUGCGAGUGUGGUCCGAAUCAGAUUGAAUCAAGGGACCGAACUGGGGAACUGAUGCCAUCUUCUGUUGGUCAUCAUCACAGGCAUCUGCUAGUUGCUUCUGGUUUUUAGUUGGAGAUUUAGGUGCUCGAGCAGGUUGUGCUGGGCUGGUUCGAAUGGUGACAUCCCCUGCAGCUCUUGAUUGUCUUCGUGCUCUUACAUGCCGAGUACUUUAGCAGCUAGUGAUGCAGCGACUCCCACUUUGAGACCAUUGAAAGAGGAGCAGCCAUUGCUGCUGCUACUCCAGUUUCUUAUCAUUCUAGGGCUUAUCCAUGAGCACCUUUAAUUAUCUGGAUUAGGUUAUCACCAAUGCCAUCCUUGGCUGCUCCAUCAUCUUUAGCACAACACGCAUCUGAGCAGGAGUUGUCAUCAGUACAAAUGCAAUGGCCAUUCCAGCUUGAGAAGCUUAUCCAUGAGCAUCUGGAUUAGGUGAGACUGCAUCCUUGCUAAGUUAUCACCAUUGGCUGCUCCAUCAUCUUUAGCACAACACGCAUCUGGGCAGGAGUUGUCAUCAAUACAAAUGCAAUGGCCAUCUGAAUGAGCAACUUGUGGAUUCUUGUUGGAUAGACCAAACGUAUUCCAGCUUGAGAAGUGAGCCUUGCACUUUGUCCUCAAAGAAGAAACCAAGAUUGUUGAACCAGCGUUGAAUUUGUGCCGAAUAAGCAAUAAGCCAAGUCUAAUGCAAGGUCAGCAAGCUUCUUCUACUCAAGCUGGAAAUCAAUCUGCUAUAAACUCCAGGGACAGAAAUUCAGAGAGGAAUGUCCCAGAGCGUGGUCCAAAUCAGAAUGAAUCAAGGGAUCAAACUGGGGAACUGACACCUAUGCCAUGAUCUGUUGGUAACACUUCAUCAUCACAGGUAACACUUCAUCAUCACAGGCAUCUGCUUCAUUAGUUGCUUCUGGUUUAGUUGGAGAUCGCAGGAUCUCGUGCUUGGACAAGGAUAUCGUCAAGCUAGAGAAGCUGUUCGUUCCAGGCAUGUUAUAAUGGUUCUUCUUCCGCUUCUCCAACCUCGAAUGGUGACAUCCCCUGCAGCUCUUGAUUGUCUUCGUGCUCUUACAUGCCCGAGUGCUUUUAGGUUGAUGCUAUUGCACAUAUAUUGACCGAACUUCAGGUGGAUUCAAACAUAUACUGAAAGCGAGGAAGACGAUGAUGAUAAUGACAGUGAGGUUCUUGAAUCUUUCAGCAGUGACUAUCUUCUGUGAUCGAUCCUUCUUAAAGCUGCAAUCCUACAGCUGAAGAUGCUCACACUUUUACGAUAAACCUCAUGAGAAUUGGUUGAAUCAAGAACGACAUCGUGAGGGGCAAGGCUAAUAAACCAAACCCGAUGAAAAUUGGUAUGUAACUUUCUUUCAUUUUGUUGAGAUUAAAUUGAUGCCUGAUAUCAAAUUGAUGUAUUUUCACUCUGGUGAGGUUGAAUCAAGAACAAUCAUGAUAAGAAUUGGUACGUAACUUUCUUUUAUUUUGUUGAAACUCAAUAGUAUUAUAAUUUUUUCAUUUUGAUUGGAUCAAACUGAUGUGUUUUCUCUCUAUUGAGGUUGAAUCAAGAACAUAUCGUGAGUAGAGGGAGGGAUUAGAGGCCAAAUCCGACAAGAAUUGGUUGAAUCAAGAACAACAUUGUGAUGUUAAAUGGGCAAGGCAUACGGACCAAUCAUGACAAGAAUUGGUAUGUAACUUUCUUUUAUUUUGUUGAGACUCAAUAAUAUCAUAAUUUUUUCAUUUUUUUGGGAUUAAGCUGAUGUGUUUUCUUUUUAUCGAGGUUGAAUCAAGAACAACAUCAUGAGUAGAGGGAAAGAUUAGAGGCCAAAUCCGACAAGAAUUGGUUGAAUCAAGAACAAAAUUGUGAUGUUAAAAGGGCAAGUCAUACAGACCAAUUAUGAUAAGAAUUGGUUGAAUCAAGAACAACAUUUGUGAUGUUAAAGGGGCAAGGCAUACGGACAAAUCAUGAUAAGAAUCGUUGAAUCAAGAACAACAUCGUGAGUAGAGGAAAGGAUUAGAAGCCAAAUCCGACAAGAAUUGGUACGUAAUUUUCUUUCUUUUUGUUGGGAUCAUUAGUACACUUGACAUCAACACAUACAAUAAGUACACAACUAAUCUUAUUACCCAAUUAAGAAGCACACAAUUAAAAUAAAGACACGACAACCACAAAUAUAAACAAGCACAUAUUCCAAACAGAUAUGCAACCUUUAAGGCACAAGCCUCCAACAAAAAGCAAUAAUAUAGUUUGAAUAAAAAAUACAAAAUUUUACUUCUACCGUAUCUACCCCAAAUGAUAAUCAAACAUGUAACUAAAACAAAAUUACAUACAUCGGGUACAACUACCCCAAUAGAUAAGACAUGCACAAUUAUAAAAGAUAUACAAUAUUUUGAGUAUACUUGCCGUCAAAAUAUACAAUACAAGCUUUCAAGGCACUCUAAUUAAUAUACAUUAAAAUAAAUACGCGUCACCACAAAUAUAAAAAACUACACAUUCCAAACAAAUACAUGCCCCCAACAAAAAGCAAACAAAUAGUUCAAAUAAAAAUUCAAAUAUUUACUUUUACCGUGUCUACGUGCAAAUAAUAUCAGACACAUAAUUAAAACAAAAAUACAAACUUCGGAUAGAGCUACCGUCAUUGGAUAAGACAUGCACAAUCAUAAAAGAUGUACAAUAUUUUGAUUACACUUAGCCCUUACCCAAUCUUAUUACAUGCUUUCAAGGACUCCAAGUAAUAAACGUACAAUUAUAAUAAAUACGCAACAACCACAAAAAAAUCACAAUAAUAAAAGAUAAAUAGAUAAGACAUGCACAAUCAUAUAAAGGUGUACAAUAAAAAAUAAAUACCCAACAACCACAAAUAUAAAAAAUUCAAACAAAUAUGCAAUCUAAAAAAAAAAUCAUCCACAUAGUUCGAAUAAAAAUGAAAAGUUUUAUUUUUACUGUGUUUACUCCAAACAAUAUCAAACACAUAAUUAAAACAAAAAUAAAAGUAUUGCGUGAGUCUACCCCAACAUAUAAGGCAUGUAUAAUCACAAAAGAUGUGCAAUGAUUUACACACAUUUAAAAUAAAUAUGCAACAAUAACCACAAAUACAAAAAAUUAUAUAUCCAACCUUUAGGUCACAUAGUCUAACAAAAAUACAAACUUUUAUUGAUAUCAAACACGUAAUUAAAGAAAAAUCACAAAUAUUGGAUACAUAUAUCACACAAUUAAAAUAAAUACACAAAAAUACAAAUUCGAAACAAAUGCGCCCAACAAAAGCAACCACCAUAGUCCGAAAAAAGACGUAAAUUUUUAGUGACCCUGUCUAUCCAUAUUAGACAUGAAUUAAAACAAAAUAGAAACUUUGAUAAGGCAUGCAUAAUCAUAAAAGAUAUUCAAUUUUUUAGUACACUUUCCCUCAAAACAUACCAUUAUAACACAAAUAAUGUUGUUACAUGCUUUCGAACGCAUACUAAGAUAUAUAUAUAUAUAUAUAUGCAAACAAUUAAAACAUCUAUAAGCAUUUGUGGCACACUGGCCCUCAACAAAUAAUACACAGUGUGAGAACAUCUCACAUAAAUUUGAAAAUGUGUGACAUCUAGUACCGGAAAGAAACUAGAAUAAGAUAUAAAAAAAUAAUGAUAACCUAUGCCAAACAGACAAAAUAAAACAGUGUUGGAAUCUACUACUUUUUUUGACCAACAAAAUGUAUGCAUAUGCUCGUAUUGUAAAACGAAAAACAGACACACGAAGCACAUUUUCAACAUGCUUAACCAAAAAUUGUGAGCAUCUACUCGCACACACACCCACAAAAAAAAAAAAAAAUGCCAUUAAAUACCAAAUUCACCUAAAUUAUUGUUGUCGAAAUUGGCCUCUAAAUCUUGCUGCUCUAACCCCACGUGUUAUCCCUCUAACCUUAUAAUGUUAUUCUUGAUUCAACCACAAUAGAAACACGCCAAUUUGAUCCCCAAAAAAAUAAAAAAAUUAUAAUACUAUUGAACAUCAAUUUAGGGUCUGUUUGGUUUGAGAAUAAUAGAGGGGAAGGGAGGGGAGGGGAUGGGAGGGGAGAAAAAAAAUAUAUAAUUAUCUAGUUUGGUUCUAUUUUUUAAAGGGGAAAGAGAGGGGAAAAUAUAUAAAAUGAAUUUAUUUUGAUUUUCUUCAAAAUUGGGGCAAUUUGGAGUGAAGAAUAUAUAUAUAUAUUUAAUUUAUAGAUUAUUUUAUCUGUAUUUAAUUAUACAUAAAUUAUAUUAUACGAAUUUUAUAGUUAAAAAUUAGUUAUGAUAUUUUUAAAUUAUAUAAUGCAAUUAAAUUAUAAAAUAAUUUUUUAUAUAAAUCAAAUUAAAUUAUUUUUAAUUUAAUCAUUUAAUUAAACCGUCAAGAGUGAGGUUUUAAUUAACAAAAUAAACUUAUAUCUAUUAUAUUUAUUUAAUACUAAACGAUAUUUAUCUUAUAAUUUAUUCUAGAUAAAUAAAUUUAUGUUAGAAUGAUUAUUUUUUAUUAAAAUUAUUCAAUUUUCUUAUAUAUAAUUUUAUUUUACUUUCUGUUUUAUUUACCUUCGGUCACAAUAACAAAUCACACCUAAUGAUGGUAGAUACAAAACCUGCAUAAAUAUUAGUUAAUCCAAAGAUUUAAUUCACACCAAAACUAUCUUACAAAUCCAUAAUUGGAAAUUUCAAUUCAACCUUAAACUAAAAUAAGAGUUUGGCCACUAAACAUAAUUAGAAUCAAAAGCAAAGACUACAAAUUUUACAGUCGUUCUUGUUCCAGCCGUCCGUGGCGUCCUCUUCUCUCCGAGAUGAAUUCCUUUUGAUUUCUUGAUUUUUAUUGUUUAAACCGUGCACCCUCAAAAUUGGUUUUGCAAAUUUUUUUAUUUUUUUCCACAAAAUUUUCUUUGGUGCAAAUUUUCACAAAUCUUUACGACCUUGCGAACAAAUCAUAGUGACCAAGUAAAUACAUCCCAAAUGGAACACCGAUGAUUGAACUAGUAAAAUCUAUCAUGAAAAAUUAUCCAUUUCAAACAACAUUAAACACUUGCAUAUAUAGAGCUAAUUAAUGUUAGUAGCAGAAGAAUGGAAUUGAACCAACAAAUUAGUAUGCAAGAUUUGAUGACCUGGAUGAUCACGAUGAAGAUGAUCAUAAUGGUGACGAUACAAACAAAUCGUAGUUAUGAUUUAGAGGAAUAUAAAAGAUUGAUUGAUUCCCAUGUGAAGUGAUCGACUAGAUCGAGGACUGUCUCAGCUUUAAUUCUUUUUGUUGAAAUUGGAUCAACAUCAUCAAGGGGCCAUGGCUCGAGCAGAGGUUUCAUGUCAGCAAUGUAACCGAAAAAAUUGAAGUUUUCCUUUUCAUUCCGUCCUAGCACAAUAUGGAUUUUUAAGUUUUCUAGCUUUGGCAAUCUUGAAAGAACUCCUCUGGUACAGCUGCGAGAACCCACACCAUACAAUGUUUUGAGGUUUCAUAGGAAGGAUCUAUCGGUACAUGGAUCCGGCAGGUCAAAUCCCGAGCAGUGCAAAUGCCAUAGCUGCUUCAAAUUCCAGAUCUCCACAGGUAGAUAAGAAGCACCCUCCAAGGAUUUUAUAUUUACAUGUCGAUCCAUGAUUAAAACUUGAAGCUUUUGAAGUUUUGAUAUGGAGUUUGGGAGUUCUCCAUCAUAUGUGAUGGCAAGGUACUUCAACCGAACUAGCUUCAGUGUUUCGUAGGGGCGUGUGUAGAAGCGGAUACUAAGUGCAUUUAAUAUCUUCAACAUUGUAAAGCUUAAGUGUAUCCAGAUAGGAUAUGGAUGAUACGGACCUAAGUGUUGCGCAGAAGACGGCCAAUGGAAACAAUAGCUAGAGGAAGCCCUUCGCAGUCCUUGUCAAUCUUCUUCCUGAUUUCCUCAAGUUGGAAGCUGCAAGAUUCUUCAGGACUUGUGAACACCAUCCCACGACCAUCGUCUGUAAUCUUCUCUUCUUUCAUGUUGUGUACCUCCAAGGAGAACUUUUCGAGCAAGGAAAUGAGCUGUCGAAGAAGAUCCAUCAAUUCGGGGGAGAGUGUGUUGGGAUUUUAAACUUCAUAUGAUGGCUGUAAGAAAUAUUCCAUCGGAUCUGAAUCUUCAUCUACUUCAUCUUCAUCUUUAUUAUCUGAUGCAGCUGGUGGUUGUAAGAAAGGUUUGAUCAGAUCUGAAAAUUCUUCUGCUAAGUCUUCGAUUUGCUGUUCCAACAAGGCAUCCGCCCUCAGCUUCCUGCCCUGCAUUUCAUGUAAUUUCUGAGAUAUUUUUUUGCAUAUAGCUCGUCAUAGAGGUAUUUUAUUACUGGACAACCCUUGGGUUCUGUUUCAAGUAAGCUGCUUAGAUUAUCCAUGGCCGAUUGAAAAGCAACAUAAGCCAAAGGAGAAGAGCAUGCUGUGGUGGGGCUGAGCCUGUCUCUGUUUGUCGGAAAGUGACAUAACAUAACAUUGCAUAGCAUAGAUGUUAAUCUUAUAUAUUUCAAUAAUUAACCUUUCAGUUUUUAAUUUUA